rnacentral:rRNA from 1 species
UCUUUGACACGGACUACCAGUGCUAUGUGAUGCGCUCUCGACGAGUCGAGUUGUUUGGGAAUGCAGCUCAAAAUGGGUGGUAAAUUCCAUCUAAAGCUAAAUACAGGCGAGAGACCGAUAGCGAACAAGUACCGUGAGGGAAAGAUGAAAAGAACUUUGGAAAGAGAGUUAAACAGUACGUGAAAUUGCUGAAAGGGAAACGCUUGAUGUCAGUCUCGUCCGCCAGGGAUCAACCUUGCAUUAUUUCRAUUGCUGGGUGCAUUUCUUGGUCGGACGGGUCAGCAUCAGUUUCGAUCGUCGUAGAAUGUACAAGGGAACGUGGCACCUCCAGGGGUGUGUUAUAGCCUUUGAUCGUAUGCGUCGGUGGGGACUGAGGAACUCGGCACGAUCCUUCGAGGGUUUGUGUCUAGGAUGCUGGCAUAAUGGCCUUAAGCGACCCGUCUUGAAACACGGACCAAGGAGUCUAACAUGCCUGCGAGUGUUUGGGUGGAAAACUCGAGCGCGCAAUGAAAGUGAAAGUCGAGAUCUCUGUCAUGGAGAGCAUCGACGCCCGGACCCGAGUCUUUGACAAAGGAUCUGCGGUAGAGCAUGCAUGUUGGGACCCGAAAGAUGGUGAACUAUGCCUGAAUAGGGUGAAGCCAGAGGAAACUCUGGUGGAGGCUCGUAGCGAUUCU